ACUCCUGCCCCUGCCACGAGAACACACCCUUUCCAGUUUGCUGGAGAAAUAUAAGAGAAGUCCAGUGAAAGAGAGCUGAGUUUCCCCAAUGAUGCCAUCAAGAUGAACUAACUACAGUUAACCAGCCAGCUGAUAGCAGAUGCAUGAGUGAGCCCAGCUGAGAGCAGGUGAAACUGAAAUUGGCUGUAUCAUCUGAAACUUCAUCUGUGAAGUCCCUGGUGGUUUCCUAGAUGACUACACAGUUGAGUUGCCUCUGAUUGGAAAAGCAGUGUUUUGGUUUUUCAGUUUGUACAAGAGGAAGAAGACGCAUGAUAUGUGUUUGGCUCAUGUGCCUGAAUAUGGCUCCACAGGGAAGACUUGAUACAGCUGAAGCUAUUGCUUUUUAGAGACUUUUUAUUUUGAGCAGCUGCCUUAACAGCCUUCGUCUUGUUACAUCACAUGAGAUAUAUCUCUGGAAUAGGAAGAGAAAAAAGACAUGACUGAGCAAUAAUUUUUGACUAAAACUUAAAAUUACAAAACCAAAACCAGAGAUAGAUGUCCCUGAAGUUGUAUUUUUAUAGUAUGUGAGAACACAAUUUUCUUAUCCUAGUUUUAAGGCAUUCCUCUGGACCCAGGAUUUUUGUUUAGUUUCAUUCACAUAAUCAAACUCUUUUUUUUUUUUUUGCCAUAGACUAAUGCAUUUUGGUGUAAUGAUCUGAGCCCUUAUCCAGAAGGCAUCUAAGACUCAUGUACAAAAAUAGAUUUCAGGGCUAAACAUUCUAAAAGACAAUUGAGUGCUUCUUUUUUCUCCGGCCCCUAGAUGUAAAUGAAUAACCUCUGUUCACUAACUCUUAAUGUAAUAUAAGGGAUAAAUUAUGCUUGUUUAUUUAAUUGUGCUUAACCAGAGUACUAGGUUGGAGUCAAACCACAGAUAUAUUUGUGAGAUGUGACAAAAUGUAGCUUUUAGCCCGUAAUACCCAAGUCAUCUGGGAACAUAACUGAUGACAGUGUCAACACCUUUCAGGAAUUCUGGAGGUGCCUUUGAGUUUAGAAAUUCGUAGGUUCUCUAGAAGCAACAGUAGCAUACUAAAUUAACACAUAACAUUUCAAGCUACAUUUACAUAAUUGCAGUGGUUAUGAUUAAUACAAAUUAUAUUAACUGCCUGUUUUACUCCUUAUAGCUGAUUGGCUGAAUUUACCAGUGGGUUUGGUAUGUUCAACAAAUGAUCCAAAUUACCUUUUCAUUUCAGUUAAGAAACUAAUCAAAGCAAAUACACUUUGAUUUGUUGAGAGGCAGAGAUUCUCCCUAAGUGGCAAUGUCCUUGGCCUUCUAAGCUAAAACCUAAAUGGAACUAUAAUAUAUAUUUUGAUGCUUUAUCUCACUUGAGUUUUUUAUUCUUUAACUGAAGGGCAGCCAUGGACCAUAAAUACAUAGAAGAUAAAAAUAUAUUGAGCUUAGGAGUUUGGUCUGUUCAAUGGAUGAGAACUUUAUAUUUUCCCUUAUAAACACAAUUUUCAAAGAAUAGCCUGUAAUAGUCGUGAAAAUGGAAACCAAUACUGGGGAAAUGUGGACUGCAACUCUGAAAAGGUAUCAAAAUGCCCGAUAGUUCAACACAAGGGCUAAGCAAUAUUUCAGGGAUGUGGCCUGUCUUUGGUGGCUCGGUCACUCUAGUGAGAUGAAUUUGGAAAAGGAUAGGCAUACAGAAUCCCCCCUCUGGCAGGGUUUGCCUUUGGGGUCUGCUUAAAGCCAUGUUUGCUAGUAGAAAUCUUGAGUAACCAGAUAUGUUUUAUAAUGCUGUGUCAUAUUUAAAUUCUGAUGAGAUUGACAUCUUUAAAUAAGCUUGGACACAGAUUGGAUUUGUACAGGGAACUGGACUGAAGAAUAAUCGUAGGUCAGUAAUAGAUUUAGAUAUACUAUUUUUAUAUUGUAAGCAGUUACUUCUCAGGAUUAGUAUUCUAAUUCAUUUGAUUUAAUAUGUAAUAGGUAAUAUUAAAAAUAAAGAUUUUAUGCUUUGAAACUCCUUAACUGAAUAUUUUCAUAGGAAUAAGCAUAGUUUUUGUGUUUAGUAAUUUUAGUUAGUGAGUAAUGAUUAGCAGACAACAUGGUAAUUAUAUUGAAAUAUUACGUGAGUGCCAAUAACAAAGCUUUCUGAUCAAAUGCUAAGAAAUAUGUUGUGUAAAGGGAUCUCACAUUUUUUAUUGCGGCUUUCUUUCUACAAUGUGACAAAUUUCUGGGAUAUUUCAUUAUCUUCUUUUUGAAUUUUUUUCAAGCAAGACUGUUCAGUAUUAUGUUAGCAUUGAUAUAAAAAGAAGCAGACCAUUGUUAACAUUAAAAUGUUACUGAGAUUUCAAAGGUAGAGGACAUUAUCCUUUCUUAUUUUUCUUUAUGAUACAGUAUUUGUAACAUAGUGCUUCUGAAAUAGAAAGCACUUUUUGGAAAAUAAGUUUAGUGAAUAGCCAAAUAAUUUCUUACAUAUAACUUACAAAAGUAAUACCAUCUAGGCUAAGCUAUUAAAAAUAUCAGUACAUCAGUAACUACUCAUUAUAUUGACCAACCAGAGCUUAUCCAUUUUUGGUCAUUCUCAUCUAGAUAUACACUUUCAGGCUAAAGAGAGAUUUCCUUCCUUUUUCAAUUGGUUAUGAAUAGAAGUCAUCAAUUUUUUUCUUACUUCCAUCUUAAUGGUUUGAAAUAAAGAGUCAGAUGCACGGCUUUUCAAUUUCUUUUACUACUUUAUUUUAUUACUUGAUUAUUUUAAGGUCAAAAGAUUUCCAUUUCCAAAAUACGUAAUAGAAAUGAUAAAGCAGUAAAAUUUGGACUUAAAAUAAUAUGGACAUUUUUCUUACAAGUGUCAACAUGAUUUACACAUUAUUAAAAAGGCAGUAAAAUUUGAACUUAUACAGCAUAAACUUUACUUAAACUGUCAAAUACAUGGUUUUAAAGUUAUUUUAUUAAUCUAUCACUAAUAAUUAUUUUUCUUAUCAACAGAGAAAGUGAAGUUUCCUAAGCCAUCACUAGAAUUGGAAACACUAGAUUUUAUAAAUUAAUUUCUUUUCAUUGACCUAAACUCCACAUUUCUGCUGUGUUCAUCUGAGGUCAUGUCCAUAUAGUCAAAUAGCUGAAGGAAAGGUGAUAUUUUUAGUCAAAUCAAACUCCAAACAUCAUUUUUAUCUAAAUUAUCUGGAGAAUUGAAUAAAUAUUUUUUUAAGGCUGUCUGUAGAAGAAAAUUAUGUCAAUUUUUCAUUUAGCUAGAGAGGUCCUGACCACAGUGUCUUCUGUUGAAUUUCUCCUCAAGGUAGGAUUCCAAAAUACCUGGAAAAUGUGAAACAGUGUUCCUCGUAUGGGUAAUGUAGCAUCUUCACAAAAAUUCUGUCAUGAUUCAUUUGAAAAAUAAUACCUUCUCAUGUCUAAAAUAGUUUUUCAUGAGAAAUACAUUCUAUAAGAAAAAAACAAUUGGCCUAUCUUAGAGGAAAAUGCUAUUAAAAAUUGUGUUAUGGAAACAGGUAACAUUUUCUUUAUCUUUGUGAGUUUUUUCAACAUAAAUUUUGGUCAGAGAAAUCAUUUCAAAAUAGAAGAGAGUCAGAAAUAAUCAGUACAGAAAUGGUUUUGUUGAGAACUGUUAAUUGAAAAGGCACCAAGUGAAGCCCUCAUCUAUGUUUGCAUAAAAAACUGUUUUCAUCCCUAAGAAGCUUGUAGCGUUUGGUGUUUCUAGAAAGCUACCGCAGAAGUGGUGCUGUAGGGGAUAGUGAUUUUUUUUUUUUUUUUUUUUGCCAACUGAUGUUCCUUAAUGGCAGCAGGCUUCUCAGAAAAAAUGGAAAAUUAAUAAUUCUAUAUAGCAAGUUCUACAUAUCAUCACUCUAUUCUCUAAUACUUAGUGUUUAAUGUACAUAAAGAGUAGCCAAUUGUGAUAUUAACAAACUUAUUAACACCUGUUGACAAAGAUCUUUGAAGACAAAUCUACACGCAAGCUUUUGCCUUAGCGAACAACAGGAAUAGUUUCCUUAAAAGGAUACAGCUAUUUUGAAAUUUCCUCAACCAUUGCAUCCCAGUGGGGGGGAUACUUACAUGGUAGGACUGUUUGGCCAAAGUGCUUGAAGCAUUAGGACACAACAAAGAUAGUUUUGAAAUGUUUUCUUGCUCAAAAUACAUUUGUUCUUAGGACACGGCUAGUGCUCAUUUUACAUUCCAUGCCUGAAGUGUUUAAAACACUGUGGUACAGGUUUCUGAUUCUGUGUUGGUCAAUUUUGAAAUCCAUGUGUUAGUAGUAAGUGUGCUGAUUCGUAGAGUGGGUAACUUCUGGGAACUCCCCUUUCUUUUAUUGACAAUUUCUUUGUAAAGCAAAUGCUAAUUCUACAGGCUAUUAAUAAAGACUGGAACUCCCUUGUUCAUUAGACACGCAGUAGGAAAAUGGGUAACAUAGCUGUAGAAAUAUAUUUGCAAUAUGUUCUCUUCGCACAAUUUGCAUAUAAAUGCCGCUUUCCCUAUUUACUCAAAUUAGCAAUGUGUAAUGGAGCACUCAUAGCCUUUUUGUAGGUUCCUGUGACCUUUAAUUGGCACUCAUUUCAGACAAUUGCCAUUUUAGACAUUGCUAUCGCCAUCUUUUGCAAUUAAGUUUCAAAGUUAUCAUCAUGGCAUUUUUAAUAUUUAGAAAUUUCUUUUUUUAUCUCUGGCUUUCAGUUGAAGACUAUUCACCCCGGUGGACUCAUCAUGUUGGGGACUUUCAAUUGCUACUUUAAAAAGAACGCUUCACUGAAAUAGGUCUCAUCCCAUCAGGAACAUAGAAAAACAAGCAGCAGGCCGGGCGCGGCGGCACAGGCCUAUAAUCCCAGCUACUUGGGAGGCUGAGGCAGAAGAAUCGCUUGAACCCAGGAGGCGGAGGUUGCAGUGAGCCGAGAUCGCGCCACUGCACUCCAGCCUGGGCGACAGAGAGAGACUCUGUCUCAAAAAAAAGUAAAAAAAAAGAAAAAAAGGAAAACAAAAGAAAAAAGAAAAGCAGUUGUUUAUCUUUUGGCUUAAGCCAAAAGAACCUCAAAUGAAAGAAAACAAACAGAUGCCAUUAGAAAAUGCACUAAAGAUAUGAUGAAAGCUUAUCAGAAAUAAUAAUAAAAAAUCAAAUGUAGCACAUCCUAUGUACCUGGCACUGUUAUAGGAGCUGUGUCUGUAUUAACACGUAAGUGUUUGAGGUAGGUACUGUUAUUAUCCCUAUUUGCCAAUGAGAGAAAGAAGGCAAGAGAGCUUAAGGAAGUUUUCCUAAUUGCCCAGCUAGAAGGCAGGACAGGUACAAUUUGGUGCUAGGUGAUUAGGCUUCAGAAUCAUCCCUCAGUCAUCAUAUUUAAUCACAGGCUUCAUGCCAUUAAUGUCUUUGCUCCAAAGUCUUCAUUUGAUUGUUUUUUUCUAACUUGUUAUUUUUUUGAGCAAACAUUCUUGUGAACUUUCAUAUUUUUAAUCCUUCUUUAUUGAGGCUUAAAAAUAUUUUUAAAAAAUAGUAAAAUGUAUUUGCUACAAAACUGAGCACUAACUUUUGAGAAGUUGUUCUAAGCUUUCAUUUGUUUCUGGUCUGAAUCAUCAGCCACGAAUUCUGAAUAAGGCUGAUCUUAUAUUAUUGCCACGUUCAGGUCUCUAGAAAUAACCAUUAUAGGACAUGACCUAUCAUUCUUAUGGAUUUUAUUGAAUGAUGAGCUCAGCUGCUUGUACAAAUCAUUUUAUUUGCCUUCUCCUUUAAUAUAUUUAUCAGCAAAUUAGGAAGCAGUAUUUCGUUUUGUGUUGUUACUCAAAAUAAGAGGAUUUUACAUUUGUAAAAUAUGUUUUUAUAUCUUAGCCCAUUAUCUAUUAAAAACAAAACCAAUAAAAUUUUGUCAUUUAUAA
rnacentral:lncRNA from 1 species